GAUCCAUGUGUCUACAUACAUAGAUUCUGUUCAUGGAUUAACGAAAAUGUGCAAGAGCUCUAUUUGCCUCUGCCAUUCUACAACUGGUAA
rnacentral:rRNA from 1 species